rnacentral:rRNA from 1 species
AGCGGCGGACGGGUGAGUAAUGCCUGGGAAAUUGCCCUGAUGUGGGGGAUAACCAUUGGAAACGAUGGCUAAUACCGCAUAAUAGCUUCGGCUCAAAGAGGGGGACCUUCGGGCCUCUCGCGUCAGGAUAUGCCCAGGUGGGAUUAGCUAGUUGGUGAGGUAAUGGCUCACCAAGGCGACGAUCUCUAGCUGGUCUGAGAGGAUGAUCAGCCACACUGGAACUGAGACACGGUCCAGACUCCUACGGGAGGCAGCAGUGGGGAAUAUUGCACAAUGGGCGCAAGCCUGAUGCAGCCAUGCCGCGUGUAUGAAGAAGGCCUUCGGGUUGUAAAGUACUUUCAGCAGUGAGGAAGGUGGGUAUGUUAAUAGCAUAUUCAUUUGACGUUAGCUGUAGAAGAAGCACCGGCUAACUCCGUGCCAGCAGCCGCGGUAAUACGGAGGGUGCGAGCGUUAAUCGGAAUUACUGGGCGUAAAGCGCAUGCAGGUGGUUUGUUAAGUCAGAUGUGAAAGCCCGGGGCUCAACCUCGGAAUUGCAUUUGAAACUGGCAAA